rnacentral:rRNA from 1 species
AUGUUUGAUGUUCAAGGCUUCACACUCAUGCGGGCAGAGGAUGGUGAGCUGGGUUUUUUCUCCGUGUCAGGCCUUACUGUCCUAUUAUGGAAGAGGAACACCAUUAUCUGUAAUGGUGUUCCAUCAUGGGGGAUAGUAAGAACUGUUGAAUUGGACAGGCUACUUUCCCUGGAUUCAGAGGAGCACGUAACUGUACAUGGGUUUGCUAAGGAUAAUAAUUUGGUGUUCCUGCGGGUCGGUAUGAGCAUCGUCUUCACUGGCCAGAUUGAGCCGUUGCGGUUCAAGAAAGUUUUUGACACCUACCAAUGGCGUCGUUAUUAUCCAUUUGAAAGUGUCUAUGCUACAGGUAUCUAG